rnacentral:rRNA from 1 species
GACGAACCGUACGAACGUUAUUCGGAAUCACUGGGCUUAAAGGGUGCGUAGGCGGCGCGGAAAGUUGGGUGUGAAAGCCCUCGGCUCAACCGAGGAACUGCGCCCAAAACUACCGUGCUUGAGGGAGACAGAGGUGAGCGGAACUAAGGGUGGAGCGGUGAAAUGCGUUGAUAUCCUUAGGAACACCGGUGGCGAAAGCGGCUCACUGGGUCUCUUCUGACGCUGAGGCACGAAAGCUAGGGGAGCAAACGGG